rnacentral:rRNA from 1 species
CCUACGGGAGACUGCAGUGAGGAAUAUUGGUCAAUGGGCGCGAGCCUGAACCAGCCAAGUCGCGUGAGGGAGGACGGCCCUACGGGUUGUAAACCUCUUUUGUCGGGGAGCAAAAGACGCCACGCGUGGCGUUCCGAGAGUACCCGAAGAAAAAGCAUCGGCUAACUCCGUGCCAGCAGCCGCGGUAAUACGGAGGAUGCGAGCGUUAUCCGGAUUUCUUGGGUUUAAAGGGUGCGCAGGCGGAAGAUUAAGUCAGCGGUAAAAUUGAGAGGCUCAACCUCUUCGAGCCGUUGAAACUGGUUUUCUUGAGUGAGCGAGAAGUAUGCGGAAUGCGUGGUGUAGCGGUGAAAUGCAUAGAUAUCACGCAGAACUCCGAUUGCGAAGGCAGCAUACCGGCGCUCAACUGACGCUCAUGCACGAAAGUGUGGGUAUCGAACAGGAUUAGAUACCCGAGUAGUC